rnacentral:tRNA from 1 species
GGCUGGGUAGUUCAGUGGUAGAACGUCGCACUCAUAAGGCGAAAGUCGUGAGUUCGAUUCUCACCCCAGCCA